GACGAACGCUGGCGGCGCGCCUAACACAUGCAAGUCGAACGGAGCUGAGAGAAGCUUGCUUUUCUUAGCUUAGUGGCGAACGGGUGAGUAACGCGUGAGUAACCUGCCCUGGAGUGGGGGACAACAGUUGGAAACGACUGCUAAUACCGCAUAAGCCCACGAUCCGGCAUCGGAUUGAGGGAAAAGGAUUUAUUCGCUUCAGGAUGGACUCGCGUCCAAUUAGCUAGUUGGUGAGGUAACGGCCCACGAAGGCGACGAUUGGUAGCCGGACUGAGAGGUUGAACGGCCACAUUGGGACUGAGACACGGCCCAGACUCCUACGGGAAGCAGCAGUGGGGGAUAUUGCACAAUGGGGGAAACCCUGAUGCAGCGACGCCGCGUGGAGGAAGAAGGUUUUCGGAUUGUAAACUCCUGUCGUUAGGGACGAUAAUGACGGUACCUAACAAGAAAGCACCGGCUAACUACGUG
rnacentral:rRNA from 1 species